rnacentral:SRP_RNA from 1 species
CCGUGCUAAACGGGGCAGUAGCGGUGUCUUGUAACCCACAACUCGCUAUAGUGGGGUUGAAGCUUUAAGAAGAUCUUUUCGUUUUUAGGAUUUUCUUAUAUAUUUGGUGCUUGAAGUGUUUGGUCCUUUACAAUAAGAAGCUUCCAAACCCAGCCAGGCGGGGAACCGAGCAACUGUAGGAACCUCGCUUAUGUGUGAGGGAGUGCUGAACAUUAGUCAAAUAUAUGUAGAUGCCUUCUAAUGAGAGUUCGAUGUAAGGUGCACGG